AGGAUGAAGUUCUACAGGAAACAGAGGCAUACAUAAAGUUGUAUGUUAUCAUGUUAUCAUGUUUUUGGCUAUAUGUAAUAAUUUCAUGUUGAUGUUUUAGAAAUACAAAGCUUCUUAAUAAUUUUUUUUUCUACAUGUAAUAAUUUGCUGUUGAUGUUUUAGAAUUACAAAGCUACUUAAUAAUGUUGUAUGUUUACUUGUUAUUGGCUAUAUGUAAUAUUUUGCUGCUGAUGUUUUAGAAUUACAUAUAGCUACUAUUUUAGGAUUUAUUAAUUUCAUUGGUAACUGAAUUUUCAUGGUUUGUGAGAAAUUAUUUUCAGGAAUAGAAAAAUUGGUAGUCUUCUGAAAUAGGUCAAAUACAUUUAAAGUAUGUCAAACAAUAAGAUUAAGAGAAAACCUUAUUUAGCUGCUGAAUUCUCACUUUUUUUAAUUCCAAAAAAGGACAAUUUGAUUUGAAAAAGCAAGUUGCAAAUUGAAAUUUUCACUACAAAAUCAACAAAAUUCAUCUUCUUACAAAAAAAAUUCAAACAUUUGUAUGUUAUAUCAUUUUUGAGAAAUAUUUCCAAAUAUUUUGACAAACAUAUAAGAAUGCAUAAUGAUUUUUACUUUAUAUUCUUUUUUUUUGCUUUUGAAAUUUUAGGCAGAAAUGCCUUUCAGAGAUUUUAAGACACAUAGUAGAGUUGUAAGUUUCUAGUUUUCUGGAAGCCAUGAAAAUAAUGAAAUUUUGAAAAAUCAGUCUCCAAUGAAAUAUCAAAAUAAUCUACACUAAGGCUACAGUCAAUGUAGAUACACAGUCUCCUCCUUCUCUAUAUACAUAUAGAAAAGGAAGGAAAAUUGGAUUUUGAAUAGUGAGUUACACUUUUUUUGUUGACUGCAAUUGCUAGAAAUUAGAAAAAAUGAAAAUGUGAAUGAAAAUCAAAUGGAUGAAAAACACCUCAAGGAUUGACGGAAAUCUAGAAUUAAUGUGACUUCUUUCUCAUUAUCUUAAGCUAUAAUGAUUAUUCCUGCCACAAAGGGGAUGAAUAUCAGUUAAACAGUAGUAAACAAGAUACACAACUUUUGAAUAAGUUAGAAAUAUUUAAUCACAAAAAAAAAGUUAAUUGGCUUAAAUAAAUGUGAUUUUAAAAUAAAAUUAACACUUGAAAGUUUGAUGUAAUGAAAGAAGAAUUUAUAUGUAUUUCUCUUAUUUUUAUAGUACUACUUUUAAGUUUGUUUGUUUGUUUUAAUGGUUAUUUGUUAAACUAUUAAUUCUUCUUUGUCUGGAUUUUAAUGAGUUGAAGUUACCUAAUAAUAUAGGUUUGUAUAAUGUAGGAUAUAAAUGAACAUUUUCAAUCAAUUGCUAAAAUAUUCCUCUGUUAUAAGUCAUUCUAAAGAUUUUUUUUGUGAGUAAUAAACGAUCUAAACUGCACUCUGGUUAACCAAUAUUCUUGAUAGAAGUUAAUUUUACUUCUUUGAUAGAAAAACUUAAAUAAAUGUAAGGAAAACCCUUUCAAGAAAGCUGGUUACUUAAGGUCAAAGCCAUGGCUGAUGGACGUUUCGUUUCCCCAGGGUAUCACCAGCACAGUAGUCAGCACUACUGUUUUAACAUGAAAUAUGUUCAUUUAAUGUGAAUAUGAUGUUUAAAAAAUACAAAAUUGUUAGGAACACUACAACUUUUCUUCUCCCAAGUAUAGUAGAUUGCUUAAGUUGUAAUUUAUCAAAUCUUAGCAGAAUGUUUGGAUUUGAAUGCUCAAUAGCUUGAUAUUUGGAUUUUGACUUUCAACUGUUUUGUUUUGAGCAUCACUGCUAAGUCUUAUGUCUAUGAUUUACACAUUUGUUUUAUGUUUUUUCACCCCCAAGGGUGACUGGGGUAUAGAAAUAUGGUCACUUGGUCUUCUCCCGACCGCGAAAACGCUUGCCGAAGUGGGCGUCCGUUUGGCUGUGCGGGAUGUAUCAAGUCGAUCACGUCCGGUCAGAAGGGGACGUUAAAUCCGAGUCUCGUGUAAGAGCCAUCGCUCUUUGCACGUUAAAAUCCUUGCAACAACUCUUUGAGGGGUCCGUAGGUGGCUGUUGCAAGGCAAAAUUCUGUCCCUAUCCAAUAUACCCUCCUUUUCCGUGCAGUCCAAAUUUCCCUGACCAUCAUCCCAGAUGGCCUCUAUGUACAACCUACUAUUUAUUUAUUGUGAACUUGUUCUCGUCCUGAAUAUGCAUGAAAUAUUUGCCACUGGACGUUAAGCAACCAACAAUCAAUCAAUCAAUCAAUCAAUUAAUCAAUAUGUUUUUUCUUCUCUAAAAUUACUGUAUUUUACUAAGGGGUUUCAUUAUAGAAAAGAAUACAAUCCCUUUUUUUUUCACACACUUAGAAAAUGGCUAUUAUAGAUCAAUUCUGGUCAAAUGUUCAGUAAACAAUAAAUUUUUGAUGAACUUUCAGAAUAAUGGCUGAUUGCCUAUAAAAGGUGCAACAAACAUUAAAAAAAAUAUGAAAAUAAGAAAAUAAGAAAAACAAGAUAAAACAUUGCAUGAAAGGUCAGUUAAUUAAUACUGAACUUUUGGUAUUUGAUAGUUUUAUGAUGUACAUACUUGUCUCAUUGACAAACAUAUCUUCUUAUUUUCAUACUGUGAUGGAUUUAUCUCAACAUUCUGGUAAAUCUUUUUGAUUUCUGUGUCCUUUGCUGUAACAUCUCAUCAAGUAUAUUAAACAACUAUUUUACUUAUAUCUAAAAAUUGGUAUUUACUUCUAGAUUUAAGCAAAUUGAUAUAUUUAUAAAAUCCUUUCAGCAUUAUGGAAGUUGACUCAUACAGCCAUAAAGAAAUUUAAGAUUAUGUCUAAAUAAAAAAUCCUCUGUUAAUGGCAAUCCAAUUUAUUGAAAUAUUGAUGAAGCUUUUUAAAAGUAAGGAUAUUGAUAAUGUUCUAUACCCAAAUCAGAUAUUGUUGCCAAUAUAACUAAAACCAAUACUGUAAGCUGAUAUGAGACCAAUUUACAAAUUUGAAAAUAAAUGUUAGGAAUCUUUAUAUUGGUUUAUACAUCUAUUUAUGAAAUUAUAACCAAAGUUUAAAGUUUUGUGUGGUCAGUUCAUGCUAGUGGCUGUUUGUGUGUUUUUUUGAAUUAAUAUGCUUAUUUAAAAAUGCAGGUUGAAGUUAUAGAUGCUUGCUAUUAUUUUAUUAAAUAAGUCAAACAUGUAAAACAUAAUACACAAAUUUGGAUUUCAGGGGACAAUAGGCUGAAAAAAAUUGAUAGAUAUAUAAUAUAUAAAGAUGUGGUAUGAGUGCCAAUGAGAGACUCCCCCUCCAUGAGUUUGAAAUCACCCGAUCAUGCCAAAAUACUGCUUUCCUUUAGGUAAAUUCAAUAUGAGAUCAGAUGUGGUAUUUUACAUGUUAUAUGAAAAACAAAUAAGAGAGAAAUUUCAGGGUUAUGUUAUUCAAAAUCAAAACCAAUAUUAUAAACCAUGAAUAGAAAUCCUUUUCUCACUAUAAAGUAUGCCUGAUAGUAAAAAAUCUUGUCAAAACCCAAGACUAAUUAUAUGAUUAAGAAACAAAUUAACUUAAAUCCAAAAGGGUAAAGUUUGUCUAUGAGUAUGAGUUUGAAGUUGUAGAUAUAGUUAUGAAAAUAGUUUUUCAAGGCAACUCUUUUUUACUUAACUGUAUCUAAUAAUUCAUGCCAAUGUCAAAAUAUUCGUUAAAUGUGCAAAUUUUAUUCCCCUGUAAAUAAUUGUAAUUUGUUUUUUUCCAGGAGGAAUAUGAUAAGGAAGGAGAGAUAUGAAAACCAAGAUGAAGGCGACUGGUAUUAAUUAACAGUUCAUUCAAGAAUUAAUGAUAGUAACCUUAAGGUUACAGAACUGUGUGAUAUAUGAAUUAUUGUUGACAUGAUUGAAGAUAUGAGUUUUAUCAAUAAAAUUGCUUAUUGUCUUUUUUGUUUUUCU
rnacentral:lncRNA from 1 species